CCUACGGGAGGCAGCAGUGGGGAAUAUUGGACAAUGGGCGAAAGCCUGAUCCAGCCAUGCCGCGUGUGUGAAGAAGGCCUUCGGGUUGUAAAGCACUUUCAGUGGGGAAGAAAGCCUUGGGGCUAAUACCCUCGAGGAAGGACAUCACCCACAGAAGAAGCACCGGCUAACUCCGUGCCAGCAGCCGCGGUAAUACGGAGGGUGCGAGCGUUAAUCGGAAUUACUGGGCGUAAAGCGCGCGUAGGCGGUCUGAUAAGCCGGUUGUGAAAGCCCCGGGCUCAACCUGGGAACGGCAUCCGGAACUGUCAGGCUAGAGUGCAGGAGAGGAAGGUAGAAUUCCCGGUGUAGCGGUGAAAUGCGUAGAGAUCGGGAGGAAUACCAGUGGCGAAGGCGGCCUUCCGGACUGACACUGACGCUGAGGUGCGAAAGCGUGGGUAGCAAACAGGAUUAGAUACCCGAGUAGUC
rnacentral:rRNA from 1 species